rnacentral:rRNA from 13 species
AAGUCCCGCAACGAGCGCAACCCCUAUUCUUAGUUGCCAGCAUGUAAUGAUGGGGACUCUAAGGAGACUGCCUGCGCAAGCAGAGAGGAAGGGGGGGAUGACGUCAAGUCAUCAUGGCCCUUACGCCCAGGGCUACACACGUGCUACAAUGGCGCAUACAGAGGGUAGCGACACAGUGAUGUGAAGCCAAUCUCAAAAAGUGCGUCUCAGUUCGGAUUGUAGUCUGCAACUCGACUACAUGAAGCUGGAAUCGCUAGUAAUCGCGCAUCAGCAAUGGCGCG